UACAGAGGGUGCAAACGUUGCUCGGAAUCACUGGGCGUAAAGCGCACGUAGGCGGAUUGCUAAGUCAGGGGUGAAAUCCUGGAGCUCAACUCCAGAACUGCCUUUGAUACUGGCGACCUUGAGUCCGGGAGAGGUGAGUGGAACUGCGAGUGUAGAGGUGAAAUUCGUAGAUAUUCGCAAGAACACCAGUGGCGAAGGCGGCUCACUGGCCCGAUACUGACGCUGAGGUGCGAAAGCGUGGGGAGCAAACAGG
rnacentral:rRNA from 1 species